AUAUGUAUUUUACUGUUGUUUUUACUUGAAGCUUUCUUAGAUUUUGAAACGAAGUAAACACGUAAUGUGUGUUGCUAAUGUUGGGCCAUGUAACAUGUAAUACAUUUACGUUUUAAUGAAUAGUCUAACGAUUUAUAGUCGUUGUACUCUAUUGUUAUAAUAUGUCUUUUUGACUGAAUACAUGUUUGUUUUAUUUGUCUAUAUCUUAGAUUCGCAGCUGGACACAUCCUUCUACACUGUAUGCAAACAUGCAACAUCAUAACACACAGUACAAGGAGUCAGACUGGCAUAUGAGGAGCAAAGGAACCCAGACAGUAGCAUCGUUUCACAAUGUUUCCAUCACCAUCAUCAGUGGAUGCCUUUGCCGUCCGUAGCCUGAGAUUUCAGAUUUGCAGCAAAAAAAAUUGAUUUUCUCAUUUAUUGGAAUGCUAUGCAGGUUGUACCUUGCAGCCAUCCAUUACAAUGUCACCAAGCCGUAACAAAAGCAGGAGAGGGAAAGUACAAGGCUAUGUUCCCAAAACACACAAAUGACAUACCUUAUGUGGAUGAUGUGAUCAGGCUUGUGUUUGCUGAGGUAUUUGAAGAUAAGCUGAAGGAAACCCCGAUUCCAAUGGACCUGGCAUCACAGUUUGAGAGACCUUCAAAGGAGGACGUGAUUGCAUGCCAUCUUCAGUGCAG